CGCCCAUGAACUAGCAGCAUUUUAGACAUGUGAUCUAUGCCAUCUGUGGCCAAAUGUAGGGUUGGGGCCCCAUCAAUGGGUCAACAAGCGUAAUGGACUUUUAACAAAAAUUCUGCUUUCUUGAAUUGUUUUUUUGUUUAUAUAUAUAUAUAUAUAUAUAUGUGUGUGUGUGUGUGCGUGCGAAAUACAAGUGUUAUAUCUUCAGGUGUCGCAUAUUUCAGGAAAUGAAAAUUAAAUAUAGGAAGCUGUUGAAAAAGAUUGUGGGGGAGAAACUAGCCGUGACACCAACCUGCAGCCUUCAGUGUUAAAUCUAUUUAAAUACAUCUCUAUUUGAGACCAACCUUAUGAGAAUUCACGUGAACCCUGAGGAGAUCUGUCUCAUACCUGCAGCUCAGUUCCCCUUAAUUCAAUACAGCACUGUGCAAAAGUCUUAAGCACCCCAGUGUUUCUGUGCUGCUUCACUAAAAUAUAAAAUUUGAAAUUAACAAUAGUGUUUUUUUUUUUUUUUUUUUUUUAAGUGAAUA